AUGGAGCAGUCCAAUUCGAUCGUGCACGUGGUUGCCAUCUGUAUCACAGAACAGCAAAGUGAAGAUGAGCCAGUUCCUGCAGCUAUCCAAGAUAUCUUGGACAACUUUCAAGUCAUCUUUGAGGAGCCAACAAGGCUGCCAUAGUAUCGAGAAUGGGAUCACGCCAUUCCUCUGAUAGCAGGGGCCAACCCAGUUAACAUCAGAGCUUACCUGUAUACGCCAGAGUAGAAAAAUGAGAUAGAAACACAAGUCAAAGAGAUGCUUCGCGCAGGGCUCAUCACUCCCAGUACCAGUCCCUUUUUGUCUCCGGUGCUGUUAGUAAAGAAGAAAGACCAAAACUGGAGGUUCUACGUGGAUUUCAGGCACCUCAAUGCGAUCACUAUAAAGAAAGUCUACCCGAUGCCCAUUAUUGAUGAACUGCUGGAUGAGAGCGCCGGAUCGCGUUGGUUCUCCAAGCUGGACUUGAGAGCUGGGUACCAUCAAAUACGGUUGCUGCCAGCUGACGAGCACAAGACGACGUUCACAACUCACUUGGGCCACUUCCAGUUUAAGGUGAUGCCGUAUGGCCUAGCCUACGCACCAGCAAAAUUUCAAGGUGGCAUGCACACAGUGCUCUCUCCCGUGCUUCGUAAAGGGAUUUUGGCAUUCAUGGAUGACAUCCUCAUCCACACCAGCACCUUAGAAGCACACUGCCAUCUCCUGACGCAAGUUUUGCAGUUACUUCACCAGCAUGGGUUGAAGGCGAAACUCUCCAAGUGCAGUUUUGCUCAACGUCGUAUCAGUUACCUCGGGCAUGUGAUCAGUGAACAAGGAGUCUCUACCGACGAUAGCAAGAUACAGGCAGUUCAAAACUGGUCGGUACCACAGAAUACCAAGGAGCUAAGUGGGUUUCUGGGGCUCGCAGGCUACUAUCGCAAGUUUGUGCGGUUCUUUGGGGUCAUCAGCAAGCCAGUGACAGAACUCCUCAAAAAGAACACCAUCUUCGCGUGGACACCCACGACUGACGCGACGCUCCUCGCUCUCAAGCAAGCCCUCACAGCCGCCCCUGUCCUUGCUCUGCUAGACUUUCAUAAGCAGUUCGUAGUCGAGACGGACGCGAGCGCAACAGGGAUUAGCACGGUCCUGAUGUAGGCAAACCACCCAGUCGCAUACCUGAGCAAGGCGCUGGCUCCCAAGAACAUGGGGUUGUCAGCAUAUGAAAAGGAAUGCUUAGUGCUCCUGCUGGCUAUUGAUCAUUAG
rnacentral:rRNA from 1 species